AUGAUGCACAAAAAGUUUGGUUAUUUAUAAGGUAAUAAUUUGUCCAUCUCAGGCCCUAAAGAUUGCACUCAAGGCCCAACAGCUUUAUCGCUUUAUCCUGAACUAGAAAACAUUUCUCAGUUAACUUCGGUAUGUUAAGGACCCUGUUCCGCUGACAUAAGGACUGGUUUUCUGGAUCUACUGAUGUUUUCAAGUUAUUUGGUGAAGCACAACGGAUGCUUUUGGACCGUGAAAAAAGAAUGGUUCAUGAUAGUAAGCCUAGAGCUUAUGGAAACAUUUCAACCCCUAGUUGGAACCCUAAACAACCGAAUACACUAUCAAAUGUCCAAUAUCAACAUCCUCAGAAUCAAGGUCAUUCUGUUAAUUUUAUUGCAGCGCAUCCUUGUAAUUUUCAUUUUAAUCCACAGCAAUUCUCAACUACUGGUGGACAUCAGUCAACUUUCUAGACUAUUAUCCUUUCUAUUCAGUUAGGUGCCAGUUUUUUAAAGAUGUCAAAGCUAUUCUAGGGUUGGGUCAAAACGUCUAUUUAUAGUAUGGGUCCAAACGGGCUAGUCAACAGUUUUUUGCAAGUAAUAUGAAGGGCGUGCCAGGUUACUUUGGUUGCUGCUGUUUGAAAUUUCAAGAUUGGUAUGGGUUUGAUGUUUGUGGCUGAGUUUGCCUUUUGACUAUCGUGGAUUGGUGGGUAACUGGGUAUGGUUAGUGGUAAUCUGUUGCAGGUUGGAUGUGCUAAAAGGUUGUUGAUUGGGGCUGCUAUGGGGAGAAUAGAGGUCAAGACUACUAGGAAGCUGAAGAGAAGAUUAUUCUCUUGUUUUUAUGAGUUGGGUUUAUUUUUUGAUUUUCUUUCUUUGUUUGGUUGCUUUUAAGAGGUUAUGAUUGUAUAGCGUUUUUUUUUUUUCUGGUUUGACUUGCCAACAGAUAACCACAAUAGCUAA